GGAUGCUUUUCUCCCACGAUGGUCGCCAUGGGACCCCGCCGAUUGAAAGAAACGGAGCGAAUGAAUAAGAGGAGGGAGGUGGAGAGAAUAUUUAAUGAGUUUCCUCCGGGAAUUUGUGCCCGUUGCGGAAGAACUUGGAAAGGAGCAUCGGAUGAAAGAACCUGGUUCAGAACAUGAAGAAGGGAAGGCAAGGAUCCCCCAGCAUGAAUUGUGCCACUAAAAGGCCAAGAGGCAGAGCAGAAGAUGGGCAGCAAUGGUGUUUUUGUGGCUGUGCAUUGCUCAGAGCAGCAAUAGUUAAG